AUGAAAUGGGUUAGUGCCUGGAAUAUUCAGCAGAAGAGAGAGAGAGAGAGAGAGAGAGAGAGAGAGAGAGGAGAGAAGAUAGAUAGGACAAGAAUCAUUUCCCAGCUUACCGUUAUGCUCAAUGUUUUUGCACUUUUGAAUGCUGCUGCUGCAAUGGAUUCUUCCUGCUUUGUACUACUCCUAUUCGUAUUAUUCUUAA
rnacentral:ribozyme from 12 species